CUUCAGCAAAAGCAGGAAGCAGUGUCAAGAGCGCAAGAUUGCUGGAAUUGAUCUGCCCAUUCGCUUGCGUCAGUAUUCGAUGAGAGACGAAAUAGAAAGUAAAGCACCUCCUAUCUUUGGCAUCAGGAGGUUUAAAUCAGAAAGAGCGAGAGAGAGAUGCAGUAAAAAGAGGAGGACCUGGCUAAACAGCACAUCACGCAUACUGUAAAAUGCUAUUAGCCCACUAUACAAGGACUCGAGCAUCAAUGUAUUUUUUAACAAGUGUUACAUGCAGGCAUAUGUAAAUCAGCAAAAUCACAACGGAUCUGGGGAAGUUAGCUUAAGCACUCAGUGGAGGGAGAGUGAAAAGAAUGAAACACUUUUACUUUUAAAUGUCACAACAACCUACAGGGAGGCAGAGCUGUGAAGGAGCCAUACAAGGGAAAGUCCAGUCCUUGAGUGUGUCUGGCCACCCCAUCAGAAACAUCAUAGAGCAUAGGCAUCUGGUCAAGCAGGAAUUGUUUUUUUGGUGCAUCUGGCCACCCCAGCAAGUAGGUGUUUGAGGUCACCGAACAUGGCUGUUUGAUGAGGCCGAUACCAGUGCAGGAUGUGUAGCAGUUGUGGAAGAGGAGCGCCAACCUCUGCCAAGAAACAAGCAACAGAAGGACCUCGGCAGUGAGGGCAGGUGAGGCCCCCAGCGGAGGAACAG
rnacentral:lncRNA from 1 species